UACGUAGGUGGCAAGCGUUAUCCGGAAUUAUUGGGCGUAAAGCGCGCGCAGGUGGUUUCUUAAGUCUGAUGUGAAAGCCCACGGCUCAACCGUGGAGGGUCAUUGGAAACUGGGAGACUUGAGUGCAGAAGAGGAAAGUGGAAUUCCAUGUGUAGCGGUGAAAUGCGUAGAGAUAUGGAGGAACACCAGUGGCGAAGGCGGCUUCCUGGUCUGCGACUGACGCUGUGGCGCGAAAGCUAGGGGAGCGAACGGG
rnacentral:rRNA from 1 species